UACGUAGGGUGCGAGCGUUGCCCGGAUUUAUUGGGCGUAAAGGGCGCGCAGGCGGCUACGCACGUCCGUUGUGAAAUCGCUCGGCUCAACUGGGCGGGGUCAGCGGAUACGGCGUAGCUGGAGCAAGCUAGGGGGCAAUGGAAUUCCCGGUGUAGUGGUGGAAUGCGUAGAUAUCAGGAAGAACACCCGUGGCGAAGGCGGUUCUCUGGGACGGUACUGACGCUGAGACGCGAAAGCGUGGGGAGCGAACAGG
rnacentral:rRNA from 1 species